GCCUGACUUCUGUCUGGUAAUGAGUACCGUGAUUGUCUCAUGAACGGCUCUGUGCUUAGCACUUCUGCUUCUCAAAACACUGAACGAGUAUCUGAGUGACCUCCACGUGCAGGCAUCGUGUUAAAGCAAUGUGCACUUUACUUCAUUUAAGCCCUGAGACACGAGCAGUGCCAUGUUGCACGCUGCCCUAUGGAGAGCCCCAUGCAAAAAGGAACUGACUUCAGAGACCUGCCGACAGCCACGUCUUCCGUCUCUGUGAAUCAGCGACGUGGAGAACGGGGGCUUCAGAGAAAUUGAGGGAGGCGUGAAAUGAGCAAAGCAGAGCGGAGUGCUGGCAGGAGCCGAGGGUGCCACACUGGGAAAAUCACGCCGUGCGUCAUCGAAGGGAGCGUGCGUGCAGUGAUGUCUGUCUGCCCCCUCUGAGCAGCAUCCACACAGGCUGGGGCAGCCAGAUCACUGUGACUUGGGUGGGGAUGGAACAGGGAUGAAAAUGUCCCGCACAGCCAGGGUAUUCUAGGGGCCUAUACUGUCAGGACGGCCUGUGCAAGCCUCAUUUAGUCUUCUGAGUCACAGCUGCUGGGCUAACCUCGUGGUGUCAGGAAUCCAUAGCAAAUCCAACUGCCUCUUCCGCAUUGCGCUCGCUCCUGCGGCACAGCAUUCAUUGGCUGGUGUCUUCUUAGUGCCCUGGACCUCAUCAUAUGGCAACUGAUGGAUGAUCUGUCCCUCCUCUGGGCUGGGAGCUCCUCCAGGCAGGAACCUUGGCCCAGUUUCUUCUGCCCCUCCAGGCUCUGGCAUCUAGGAAUGUUUGUUUGCCCGGUCCUUUGGAAAAUACCCAACUGCCAGCCUGCCCCGCCACCAGCCCCUGCCCUUCUGCUUUUGAGCCUCUCCACCAGGCGGGCGGGCCCUCCGAGCCUCCUCUGCGGUCGGCGACAGCGGAUCUCUGCUGCUAACGUGACCUCCAACCUUCCCUGCCUUUCUCCGAGGGCAGGGGCCUCGCCUCUCUUCCUGACAAAGCACUUUCAGUCAACUCUUGGAUUUCUUCAUGGCUGAUUAAACUGUCUGUGUUUAUUCAGGACCCUUCUCCUCUUUCUGUGUCCGGCUGCUGACCUUUCUGUGAGUUCACUGGA